CGGAAUUACUGGGCGUAAAGGGCUCGUAGGCGGCCAACUAAGUCAGACGUGAAAUCCCUCGGCUUAACCGGGGAACUGCGUCUGAUACUGGAUGGCUUGAGGUUGGGAGAGGGAUGCGGAAUUCCAGGUGUAGCGGUGAAAUGCGUAGAUAUCUGGAGGAACACCGGUGGCGAAGGCGGCAUCCUGGACCAAUUCUGACGCUGAGGAGCGAAAGCCAGGGGAGCAAACGGG
rnacentral:rRNA from 1 species